GUAGGUGGCAAGCGUUGUCCGGAAUUAUUGGGCGUAAAGCGCGCGCAGGUGGGUUCUUUAAGUCUGAUGUGAAAGCCCCCGGGCUCAACCGGGGAGGGUCAUUGGAAACUGGGGAACUUGAGUGCAGGAGAGGAAAGUGGAAUUCCACGUGUAGCGGUGAAAUGCGUAGAUAUGUGGAGGAACACCAGCGGCGAAGGCGACUUUCUGGCCUGUAACUGACACUGAGGCGCGAAAGCGUGGGGAGCAAACAGGAUUAGAUACCCUGGUAGUCCACGCCGUAAACGAUGAGUGCUAAGUGUUGGGGGGUUUCCGCCCCUCAGUGCUGCAGCUAACGCAUUAAGCACUCCGCCUGGGGAGUACGGUCGCAAGACUG
rnacentral:rRNA from 1 species